rnacentral:rRNA from 1 species
CGAAGUUGGAAUUGCUAGUAAUCGCGGAUCAGCAUGCCGCGGUGAAUACGUUCCCGGGUCUUGUACACACCGCCCGUCACACCAUGGGAGCUGGUAACACCCGAAGUCAGUAGUCUAACCGCAAGGAGGACGCUGCCGAAGGUGGGAUUAGCGACUGGGGUGAAGUCGUAACAAGGUAAC